AGAAGCGGACUCAGACGGUAGUAGUAAAGCCCAGCUCGGGUCGGCCGAGCGCAAAUGUGCGCUCUACGUGCUGACAGCCGCGUUUCGUUCGAGCUGGUCUCACCUGAGAUCUCGUUCGCAGAUCACGAACAGCGUGUCUCUGAAGAAAGUAGUCGAAGGACCUUCGAACCGGGGAGAGAGAUGCGUCUGGCGUGACGGACGUCCGACGUACGGGAACCGUAUACAGGAGAGGACGUCUCUCCACCACAGUGAACAUCCCUUCGUUUCAGUGUGUGUCCGUCGUUCAGUUUCUCUCUCGCUCGCUCGGCUGUCUCGCUGAUUCUGUGUCUCUGCCUGUCUGUCUCUCUGUUACUCGUUGUUUGCGUCUCAGUCACGUACACACAUACACAUACGUAUCGUCUCUCCCUCUUUGUCUCUCUCUCGACGUCGUCCCUCUGUCGGCCCAUCGACAACGAGGGGAUAAAAGUGGCGCGAGCACGGGCAGACCCAGCCGGAGACUGGCGGCGUCCGAGGCACUGGCGGAGCUGGUGCACGAGAUCAGGAUGAAAUCGAGGAGCAAUAUAGCUAUAUCGAUCCUCCAUCAAGAUCGUCGAAGUUACGAGGUCGUUAGAGAAGGUACGUUCGUGUAAAGAUCUCGGCGAAAGUUUGUCAUUUGCUGGUGGAGGAUUUGACAGCCUGCGGCAGGGCAGGUCUCGAAGCGAAGAAAGGAGAAGGCAGGAAGCGGAGGUGAAACCAGGUACAAGCUACCAGGAAGGCCUAGCGCCUGGCUGUUUAGUGGCUGUUG